UACGGAGGGUGCAAGCGUUAUCCGGAUUCACUGGGUUUAAAGGGUGCGUAGGUGGGCUGGUAAGUCAGUGGUGAAAUCUCCAGGCUUAACUUGGGAACUGCCAUUGAUACUAUUGAUCUUGAAUACCGUGGAGGUCAGCGGAAUAUGUCAUGUAGCGGUGAAAUGCUUAGAUAUGACAUAGAACACCAAUUGCGAAGGCAGCUGGCUACGCGAAUAUUGACACUGAUGCACGAAAGCGUGGGGAUCAAACAGG
rnacentral:rRNA from 1 species